rnacentral:rRNA from 1 species
GGACGAACGCUGGCGGCGUGCUUAACACAUGCAAGUCGAGCGGAGAAUAUAGCAAUAUAUUCUUAGCGGCGGACGGGUGAGUAACGCGUGGGCAAUCUGCCUCAUACAGGGGGGAUAACACUGGGAAACUAGUGCUAAUACCGCAUAAAAUAGUGAAGUGGCAUCACUUUACUAUCAAAGGAGCAAUCCGGGUGUGAGAUGAGCCCGCGUCCGAUUAGCUAGUUGGAGGGGUAACGGCCCACCAAGGCGACGAUCGGUAGCCGAACUGAGAGGUUGAUCGGCCACAUUGGGACUGAGACACGGCCCAGACUCCUACGGGAGGCAGCAGUGGGGAAUAUUGCGCCAAUGGGGGAAACCCUGACGCAGCAACGCCGCGUGAAGGAUGAAGGUUUUCGGAUUGUAAACUUCUUUGAUUGGGGACGAUAAUGACGGUACCCAAAAAACAAGCCACGGCUAACUACGUGCCAGCCGCCGC